rnacentral:rRNA from 1 species
AUACGUAGGUGGCAAGCGUUGUCCGGAUUUAUUGGGCGUAAAGCGAGCGCAGGCGGUUUCUUAAGUCUGAUGUGAAAGCCCCCGGCUCAACCGGGGAGGGUCAUUGGAAACUGGGAAACUUGAGUGCAGAAGAGGAGAGUGGAAUUCCAUGUGUAGCGGUGAAAUGCGUAGAUAUAUGGAGGAACACCAGUGGCGAAGGCGACUCUCUGGACUGCAACUGACGCUGAGGCACGAAAGCGUGGGUAGCGAACAGGAUUAGAUACCCUGGUAGUCCACGCCGUAAACGAUGAGUGCUAGGUGUUGGAGGAGACAUCCUUCAGUGCCGGAGCUAACGCAUUAAGCACUCCGCCUGGGGAGUACGACCGCAAGGUUGAA